rnacentral:rRNA from 1 species
GGAGAAGAAGCACCGGCUAACUACGUGCCAGCAGCCGCGGUAAUACGUAGGGUGCGAGCGUUAAUCGGAAUUACUGGGCGUAAAGCGAGCGCAGACGGUUACUUAAGCAGGAUGUGAAAUCCCCGGGCUCAACCUGGGAACUGCGUUCUGAACUGGGUGACUAGAGUGUGUCAGAGGGAGGUAGAAUUCCACGUGUAGCAGUGAAAUGCGUAGAGAUGUGGAGGAAUACCGAUGGCGAAGGCAGCCUCCUGGGAUAACACUGACGUUCAUGCUCGAAAGCGUGGGUAGCAAACAGGAUUAGAUACCCUGGUAGUCCACGCCCUAAACGAUGUCAAUUAGCUGUUGGGCAACUUGAUUGCUUAGUAGCGUAGCUAACGCGUGAAAUUGACCGCCUGGGGAGUACGGUCGCAAGAUUAAAACUCAAAGGAAUUGACGGGGACCCGCACAAGCGGUGGAUGAUGUGGAUUAAUUCGAUGCAACGCGAAGAACCUUACCUGGUCUUGACAUGUACGGAAUCCUCCAGAGACGGAGGAGUGCCUUCGGGAGCCGUAACACAGGUGCUGCAUGGCUGUCGUCAGCUCGUGUCGUGAGAUGUUGGGUUAAGUCCCGCAACGAGCGCAACCCUUGUCAUUAGUUGCCAUCAUUUAGUUGGGCACUCUAAUGAGACUGCCGGUGACAAGCCGGAGGAAGGUGGGGAUGACGUCAAGUCCUCAUGGCCCUUAUGACCAGGGCUUCACACGUCAUACAAUGGUCGGUACAGAGGGUAGCCAAGCCGCGAGGUGGAGCCAAUCUCACAAAACCGAUCGUAGUCCGGAUUGCACUCUGCAACUCGAGUGCAUGAAGUCGGAAUCGCUAGUAAUCGCAGGUCAGCAUACUGCGGUGAAUACGUUCCCGGGUCUUGUACACACCGCCCGUCACACCAUGGGAGUGGGGGAUACCAGAAGUAGGUAGGGUAACCGCAAGGAGCCCGCUUACCACGGUAUGCUUCAUGACUGGGGUGAAGUCGUAACAAGGUAGCCGUAGGGGAACCUGCGGCUG